rnacentral:rRNA from 1 species
UACGUAGGGGGCAAGCGUUGUCCGGAAUUAUUGGGCGUAAAGAGCACGUAGGCGGUAAUAUAAGUUGGAUGUGAAAGGCUAUGGCUCAACCGUAGAGCUGCAUCCAAAACUGUAUCACUUGAGUGCAGAAGAGGAGAGUGGAAUUCCCGGUGUAGCGGUGGAAUGCGUAGAUAUCGGGAGGAACACCAGUGGCGAAGGCGACUCUCUGGUCUGUAACUGACGCUGAGGCGCGAAAGCGUGGGGAGCGAACAGG